CUUCACGGAGCCCCUUGAUUACAUUUAUCUUAUAACCACGAUUCUCACCACUGCUCAGAGAAUCCUGGAUCAGGGUAGACGCAUCGUCAUCAACUGGAUCCCAAGCCAUCCAGCUGGACCGGUCAAGAGAAGGAAUCUACGGCCCUGUGGGGAUGAGCAAUUAUAGCACCGUUUCUACUCCCUGAUAACGCAUGGGAUAAAAACUAGACUCAACCAUGCUCUCGACCAGCCAGUUCUCCACCUCUUGGACUUUCUUCUUAUGGACGGCCAAAUCAUCGCGAGUUGUAGGCGCGUACAGUUCAACCCAGAGUGCUGUUCCUCCCUGAAUGCGAUAAUAACUGAUGGGU
rnacentral:lncRNA from 1 species